UACGGGGGGGGCAAGCGUUGUUCGGAAUUACUGGGCGUAAAGGGCGUGUAGGCGGCCUAGCAAGUCAGCUGUGAAAGCCCCAGGCUCAACCUGGGAAUUGCAUCUGAAACUGCCGGGCUAGAGUUCAGGAGAGGAGGGCGGAACUCCCAGUGUAGCGGUGAAAUGCGUAGAUAUUGGGAGGAACACCGGUGGCGAAGGCGGCAUCCUGGACCGGUAUUGACGCUGAGGCGCGAAAGCCAGGGGAGCAAACGGG
rnacentral:rRNA from 1 species